CCUGACUGCUAUCGGAUUGAUACUAAGCCAUGCGAGUCAUUGCAGUAAUGCAAGGCAGACGGCUCAGUAACGCGUAGUCAACCUACCCUAUGGACGGGAAUAACCUCGGGAAACUGAGUAUAAUGCCCGAUAGAACACUAUACCUGGAAUGGUUUGUGUUCCAAAUGAAUGUCGCCGUAGGAUGGGACUGCGGCCUAUCAGUUUGUUGGUGAGGUAAUGGCCCACCAAGACUAUUACAGGUACGGGCUCUGAGAGGAGUAGCCCGGAGAUGGGUACUGAGACACGGACCCAGGCCCUAUGGGGCGCAGCAGGCGAGAAAACUUUGCAAUGUGCGAAAGCACGACAAGGUUAAUCCGAGUGGUUUGUGCUAAACGAACCUUUUGACAGUCCUAGAAACACUGUUGAAUAAGGGGUGGGCAAGUUCUGGUGUCAGCCGCCGCGGUAAAACCAGCACCUCAAGUGGUCAGGAUGAUUAUUGGGCCUAAAGCAUCCGUAGCCGGCUCUGUAAGUUUUCGGUUAAAUCUGUACGCUCAACGUACAGGCUGCCGGGAAUACUGCAGAGCUAGGGAGUGGGAGAGGUAGACGGUACUCGGUAGGAAGGGGUAAAAUCCUUUGAUCUAUUGAUGACCACCUGUGGCGAAGGCGGUCUACCAGAACACGUCCGACGGUGAGGGAUGAAAGCUGGGGGAGCAAACCGGAUUAGAUACCCGGGUAGUCCCAGCUGUAACUAUGCAAACUCAGUGAUGCA
rnacentral:rRNA from 1 species